AUUCUACCUGCAGAGUAAUGAAUGGAGAUACUGUGCUUGCAUGCAUCUGAAGAAUGAACAUGCAGUAGAGGCAUCAUGCGUGCGCGCGCACUCGCUCCUGCCGCGUGACGUCAGCGCGCUGGGCGGGGCGCUGUCCGAGGUGCUUCUGCUCCUCGCUGGGAGAGGGAGAUAGCGAGGGAGUGCGCGCGCGCGCUGGCGAGGGACAGCUCCUGCUCAUCUUCUGCUCAUCUCCUGCUCCACCGGGACCAUGGCACCCUCACCCCCGGUCCUCGCGCUCCUCCUGGCCGGGCACGCGCUCGGCGUCGCCGCCGCCGCGCUCCGGACGAUACGAUACGGUUGUCUCUUUGAAGAUGAUUUAUGCGAGCCGUAUGAAGUUUGCGCUAACGGUGAGUAGAUAUGUGGUGACUUAUUUUCACUUGUCUGCAUUAGUUAGCAGCUCAGAACGAGCUCAUU
rnacentral:lncRNA from 1 species